rnacentral:rRNA from 1 species
GACGAACGCUGGCGGCGUGCCUAAUACAUGCAAGUCGACCUUAGUGGCGAACGGGUUAGUAACACGUGGGUAACCUGCCCAUAAGAAGGGGAUAAACCUUGGAAAAAGGUGCUAAUACCGUAUACUGAUGGAUGGACCCGCGGUGGAUUAGCUAGUUGGGGGGGUAACGGCUCACCAGGGCCCCGAUGCAUAGCCGGCCUGAGAGGGUGACCGGCCACAUUGGAACUGAGACACGGCCCAAACUCCUACGGGAGGCAGCAGUAGGGAAUCUUCGGCAAUGGGCGAAAGUCUGACCGAGCAACGCCGCGUGAGUGAAGAAGGUUUUCGGAUCGUAAAACUCUGUUGUUAGAGAAGCGGUAUCUAUCCAGGAAGCCACGGCUAACUACGUGCCAGCCGCCGCGGUAAUAC